UCAGGUAGGAGUACCCGCCUGAACUUAAGCAUAUCAAUAAGCGGAGGAAAAGAAACCAACCGGGAUUGCCCUUAGUAACGGCGAGUGAAGCGGCAAAAGCUCAAAUUUGAAAUCUGGUACCUUCGGUGCCCGAGUUGUAAUUUGGAGAGGGCAACUUUGGGGCCGUUCCUUGUCUAUGUUCCUUGGAACAGGACGUCAUAGAGGGUGAGAAUCCCGUGUGGCGAGGAGUGCGGUUCUUUGUAAAGUGCCUUCGAAGAGUCGAGUUGUUUGGGAAUGCAGCUCUAAGUGGGUGGUAAAUUCCAUCUAAAGCUAAAUAUUGGCGAGAGACCGAUAGCGAACAAGUACAGUGAUGGAAAGAUGAAAAGAACUUUGAAAAGAGAGUGAAAAAGUACGUGAAAUUGUUGAAAGGGAAGGGCAUUUGAUCAGACAUGGUGUUUUGUGCCCUCUGCUCCUUGUGGGUAGGGGAAUCUCGCAUUUCACUGGGCCAGCAUCAGUUUUGGUGGCAGGAUAAAUCCAUAGGAAUGUAGCUUGCCUCGGUAAGUAUUAUAGCCUGUGGGAAUACUGCCAGCUGGGACUGAGGACUGCGACGUAAGUCAAGGAUGCUGGCAUAAUGGUUAUAUGCCGCCCGUCUUGAAACACGGACCAAGGAGUCUAACGUCUAUGCGAGUGUUUGGGUGUAAAACCCAUACGCGUAAUGAAAGUGAACGUAGGUUGGGGCCUCGCAAGAGGUGCACAAUCGACCGAUCCUGAUGUCUUCGGAUGGAUUUGAGUAAGAGCAUAGCUGUUGGGACCCGAAAGAUGGUGAACUAUGCCUGAAUAGGGUGAAGCCAGAGGAAACUCUGGUGGAGGCUCGUAGCGGUUCUGACGUGCAAAUCGAUCGUCGAAUUUGGGUAUAGGGGCGAAAGACUAA
rnacentral:rRNA from 1 species